CUAAACGACCGCGCGAUGUUAUNGCUCAAGCUGNAGGCCGUGUCGGUUUAAANUCUCAACNCUGGCCGUUACGUUUUACAGGAUCACCUCCUUAGAGUUGAUCAUGGCUCAGCUGGAACACCUCCUUAAGUGAUCAUGGCUCAAUGAACGCUGGCGGCGGCCUAACACAUGCAGUCGAGCGGAAGCACAGGGAGCUAUAGCUACCUAGAGGUAGACGAGCGGCAGGACGGGUAGAAGUAAUAGUACUAGGGAAACUAGCCUAGAUAGGAAGGGGGAUAACUACUAGGAAACUGGUAGCUAAAUACCCGCAUAAACGUACUAUCCGGACCAAAAGUAAGGAGAGGGACCUAUACGAGGCCUACAUAGCUCAUACAGAUAGUAGCCCAAGAUAGGGAUNAAGCUAAGUAAGGGUAGGAGAGUAAACGGGCUACACCUAAAGGCGGACCGAUACCCUAANCUAAGGGUACUAGAGACAAGGGAUAGACCCANGCCAACAACCUAGGGGAAUCUUAAGAAGAAACAAACGNGGUACCAAGAAACUUACCUCUAACGGAGGACGAGACAAAGCCACAAGUNAAGGGGAGGGAACAUAAAUAAGGCCGACCACAUAGGGGGGCGGCCAAAGGCCCCUAAGGAAUAAGCCAGGCCCANUAGUCCCGCGGUAGUAAUAGAACAAGNAAAAGGGGCCUUAAUAUACCGGGAGGUUUAUAGGUCACACACGGUUAAACCCUAUAUCCAAGGCCGGAAGGGCAACGNCGGGAACAAACGCGGGGCCAGUUNACAGAGGCGGGUUNACAACAAGAAAAAAACCCCCCUAUAAGGGGNGUUUGGACAAUUUAUAUGGGAACACCGGUUAAAAAACACNUANACGGGCCACAAGGAAACAACGACAACAAGGGCCACACCCCGAGGAGCNGUAAAAAGACCUAUACCCCAGCGGAUAGGUAGCCCCCAAAAGACCCAAAGAGCCACGCGCGAGGGAGUACAAAAAUAAACCUGCAGGAAAAGGAGGGGUAAUGCCACAACGGGCCAGGUGGUAACAAAACUACACCGGGCGAAAAUACAUAACNCAANGGCGCGA
rnacentral:rRNA from 1 species